UCACAUUCGCUGGCCCAGGCUUAACAUUGCAAGUCGACCGCCCUUUAGGGGGAGCGGCAGACGGGUGAGUAACGCGUGGGAAUCUACCUUUUGCUACGGAAUAACGCAGGGAAACUUGUGCUAAUACCGUAUGUGUCCUUCGGGAGAAAGAUUUAUCGGCAAGAGAUGAGCCCGCGUUGGAUUAGCUAGUUGGUGGGGUAAAGGCCUACCAAGGCGACGAUCCAUAGCUGGUCUGAGAGGAUGAUCAGCCACAUUGGGACUGAGACACGGCCCAAACUCCUACGGGAGGCAGCAGUGGGGAAUAUUGGACAAUGGGCGCAAGCCUGAUCCASCCAUGCCGCGUGAGUGAUGAAGGCCCUAUGGUUGUAAAGCUCUUUCACCGGAGAAGAUAAUGACGGUAUCCGGAGAAGAAGCCCCGGGCUAACUUUGUGCCAGCAGCCGCGGUAAUACGAAGGGGGCUAGCGUUGUUCGGAAUUACUGGGCGUAAAGCGCACGUAGGCGGAUCGAUCAGUCAGGGGUGAAAAUCCCACGGCUUCAAACCCCCUGGGAACUGGCCUUUUUGAAUACUUGUCCGAUCUUCGGAAGUAUUGGAAAGAGGGUGACCUUGGGAAAUUUCCCCAGUUGUAUAAAGGGUGAAAAUUUUUAAAAUAUUUCCCGAAGGGAACCACCCAGUUGGGCCGAAAAAGCCC
rnacentral:rRNA from 1 species